rnacentral:rRNA from 1 species
GUGGGGGAUAUUGCACAAUGGAGGAAACUCUGAUGCAGCGACGCCGCGUGAGUGAAGAAGUAUUUCGGUAUGUAAAGCUCUAUCAGCAGGGAAGAUAAUGACAGUACCUGACUAAGAAGCCCCGGCUAACUACGUGCCAGCAGCCGCGGUAAUACGUAGGGGGCAAGCGUUAUCCGGAUUUACUGGGUGUAAAGGGAGCGUAGACGGAAUGGCAAGUCUGAAGUGAAAUCCUGCGGCUUAACUGCAGAAUUGCUUUGGAAACUGUCAAUCUGGAGUGUUGGAGAGGUAAGCGGAAUUCCUGGUGUAGCGGUGAAAUGCGUAGAUAUCAGGAAGAACACCGGAGGCGAAGGCGGCUUACUGGACAAUAACUGACGUUGAGGCUCGAAAGCUAGGGGAGCGAACGGGAUUAGAAACCCGGGUAGUCC